AUGAAGGCACAACGAGGGCUCAACUGUCUCCUCUUUCUAGUCAAUGAAAUUGAUCUCCCCGUGCAAAAGCGGGGAUACCCCCAUAAGACGAGAAGACCCUGUGGAGCUUUAGGCACAAGGCAUAUCAUGUUAAACACCCCUGAACAAAGGGCUGAACUAAAUGAACCCUGCCCUCAUGCCUUAGGUUGGGGCGACCAUGGGGAAGCAAGCAACCCCCACGUGGAAUGGGAACACUUCUUUUUUUCUCCCUCCUACAAGCAAGAGCUGCAGCUCUAGCAAACAGAAUUUCUGACCAAACUAAAGAUCCGGCAACGCCGAUCAACGGACCAAGUUACCCCAGGGAUAACAGCGCAAUCCCCUUUUAGAGCCCAUAUCGACAAGGGGGUUUACGACCUCGAUGUUGGAUCAGGACAUCCUAAUGGUGUAACCGCU
rnacentral:rRNA from 1 species